CUCUCCCGCAGAAACCCCUACCGACCUCUCCAUUCGCUUCUUCUUCGCCCAAUCACUCACGAUGGAGAACUCGAACGAGCUCAGCACCGGAGUUAAGUCCGCCGAUCAUAACCCUAACCCCAACACUGCUGCUGUCACUGGCGAUGGCGAUGGGGAUCCUGCCCAAGCCGUAUCGCGGCCAACCCGCACGCCGUCCACCAACCUUAGCGAAGUGGAUACCGAUCUUGCCCUUGCGCGCACUCUCCAAGAACAGGUUUGAUUCCUUACUGAGCCCUGUUACCAAAAUUUGGAGCCCUCGUUGGGUCGCGAUUCCAAGACACAGCGAAGAAGAAGAAGAGAGAAAUCGAGACGAAUUGAUACAAGAGAGGAAGGAAUUGAGCCAAGGAGAGGAUCAGCAUCGAUAUCGGUUUCCAAGGAGGAGGAAUCUCAAGUCUUCUUCUCGGGGGUUGGAGUUCAUGGUGUUGCUCUGGAUCUCGGUGCUUUGAUUUCUUCAAGCUUUGAUCAAAAUCCAGCCGGGCGUCGACCGACAGCGGUGGCUUUUGGUUCUGUGGAGAUUAUAUGGUUGAGGAGCUUUGCUGAAUUCAGGGCAUAGCAUAGCAUAUACUUAUGUUUUUGGAAACGUGAAGAAUGUCUGAUAUUGCUCUUCAUCUCCUGUUUAGAGCUCAUGCUUCAUUGUGUUAGAAGUGGACAAGGUGGAGCAGGAUGAAUGCUCAGGCACACUUGUCAGGACAUAUCUCUGGGCAGGUGCCUAAUCAGCCUUCCCAGAUGCAUAACUUUGGAGGACAUAACUUGGAUCUUGAUCUCUCAGCAAAACGCAGGCUCGUUUAUGAUCAUAUUGGAAAUCGGUACUGAGGAUUAUUCACGGCUCUUCCAUUAUUCUGCUACUACCUUGUGCAAGGGUUGCUUUUUAUAGAAGGGUGAGAAGGAGGGUAGGUUUUCAAUUUAUGUACAUUCGAGGCCUGGGUUUCUACUCAAUAAAGACACAACAAGGUCUGCUUACUUUUAUGGCCGUCAGGUCAACAACAGUAUACAGGUGGACUGGGCCGAAUCAAAAGCAUGAUUGAAGCAGAUGUAUUUUGCUUAGAAAUGCACUCAAGGAUCCAUUUAAUGUGAGAUUUGCUUUUGUAUCUGAUAGUUGUAUACCACUAUAUAAUUUCAGUUAUAUAUAUGACUACAUAAUGUCAACAUCAACAAGCUACCUAGACAGGUACUUGAUGCUUCUAGUGCUCAACAAACGUUGUGUGGGAAUAAUCAUUCUCAUGAAUCAAGUCAUCAAGCAAAUCCAAAUGCAUCAAGUGAUGCAGUUUAGAAGAUGACAUCAGUUCUACUUGGGAAAAUUCUUGUUGCUUUAUUGGGUUGUUAGUCAAGAUUGAAUGGUGGUUUAUUUUUGGACAUAUACCUUAUAAACAUAUGUUUAAGGUGAUGUAAAAGUUUUUCUUUUUUAUUUCUAGUGGAAUGUUUUUGUGUUUUUUUAA